rnacentral:rRNA from 1 species
UACGUAGGGGGCUAGCGUUGUCCGGAAUCACUGGGCGUAAAGCGCACGUAGGCGGAUGUGUCAGUCAGGGGUGAAAUCCCGGAGCUCAACUUCGGAACUGCCCUUGAUACAGCACGUCUUGAGUCCGGAAGAGGUGGGUGGAAUUCCUAGUGUAGAGGUGAAAUUCGUAGAUAUUAGGAAGAACACCGGUGGCGAAGGCGGCCCACUGGUCCGGUACUGACGCUGAGGUGCGAAAGCUAGGGGAGCAAACGGG